GGGGAUAUAGCUCAGUUGGGAGAGCGCUUGCAUGGCAUGCAAGAGGUCGUCGGUUCGAUCCCGAUUAUCUCCACCA
rnacentral:tRNA from 25 species